AGAGUUUGAUCCUGGCUCAGAGCGAACGCUGGCGGCAUGCUUAACACAUGCAAGUCGCACGGUCCGAGCGAUCGGGCAGUGGCGGACGGGUGAGGAACGCGUAGGAAUCUGUCCUGGGGUGGGGGAUAACCAUGGGAAACUGUGGCUAAUACCGCAUGGGGCCUGAGGGUCAAAGGCGCAAGUCGCCUUGGGGGGAGCCU
rnacentral:rRNA from 1 species